rnacentral:piRNA from 3 species
UGGGCAUCUGUUGUAGGGGCAAGAGUGA